CUGGGCCGGGGCCCCUUUGGAGCGUAGGCCCGGCGCAGUGGCACCACUGGUGCCAUUGUAAAUCCAGUAUUGGUUCCCACCUCAGAAAGUCCCUGGCCCGGCUAUGCAACCUAGAGUUGGUUUGUUCAGCGAAGAGCCCCUGACCAUCGAGCCCCUGGAUUGUUUGCUGGACUUCGGGUGGGAGCCCUGAGGACUGAAGCCAGGCGUUACGACAUAUGGUGAUGCCAGAUGUAGGAGUACAUGCUGCUGCGUCUGCAGCAUCCAGGGAACACUUGAAGAGAAGUCCAGGCCACUAGCCUGCCCUCAGCAAUGGCUCCUAGCUCCUGCCAAGAAUCAGAUGGGAGGAGCUCCUUGAACUUUUGCAUAGCAGACCAUGAAUUAUAGCUGUAUCUGCUAAGGAUCACGAGCUGAUUAGUGAUCCACAGGGAGAGGCCACCCAUAGAAUAAACCUUUCUGCCAAAGAGG